UACAGAGGUCUCACGCGUUGUUCGGAUUCAUUGGGCGUAAAGGGUGCGUAGGCGGCGCGGUAAGUCGGGUGUGAAAUCUUGGAGCUUAACUCCGAAACUGCAUUCGAUACUGCCGUGCUUGAGGACUGGAGAGGAGACUGGAAUUUACGGUGUAGCGGUGAAAUGCGUAGAUAUCGUAAGGAAGACCAGUGGCGAAGGCGGGUCUCUGGACAGUUCCUGACGCUGAGGCACGAAGGCCAGGGGAGCAAACGGG
rnacentral:rRNA from 1 species